AGUGAACGCUGGCGGCGUGCUUAACACAUGCAAGUCGAACGAGAACGGGUUAUAACUUGUUAUAACUGUCAGCUAAGUGGCGCACGGGUGAGUAAUGUAUAGGUAAUAUGCCUCUUACUAAGGGAUAACAAAUGGAAACGUUUGCUAAUACCUUAUACUCCUUAUUAACCUAAGUUAAUAAGGGAAAGAUUUAUUGGUAAGAGAUUGGCCUGUAUUGUAUCAGUUAGUUGGUGGGGUAAUGGCUUACCAAGACUAUGACACAUAACUGGUUUGGGAGGAUGAUCAGUCACACUGGAACUGAGACACGGUCCAGACUCCUACGGGAGGCAGCAGUGGGGAAUAUUGCACAAUGGACGAAAGUCUGAUGCAGCAACGCCGCGUGGAGGAUGACACAUUUCGGUGCGUAAACUCCUUUUAUAUGAGAAGAUAAUGACGGUAUUAUAUGAAUAAGCACCGGCUAACUCCGUGCCAGCCGCCGCUGUAA
rnacentral:rRNA from 1 species